UAGUGAUUAUAACUUUGGAAUAUUGUAUUAAACUUAACCAUUUCUGUCAUUGUACUAAGACUAAGGAAAAACGAUAUGGAAGAUAACUAGGAGACAUAUAAAUUAAUUUUCUUGCAUGCAUUGUGCAUUUUUAACAGCACGAGAUUCAUUUGCUGCUAUUCAGUUUCACCAAUAAAAAUGGCUGAAAGAGAGCUGUUUUGUACUUUGCAACUUGUAUUCAAGCACAUGUCAUACAUUUUCUGAAAUUCUGCAUUAAAGUAGUGUGCCGCCUGCACAAGAAAGUGAUUAGUGACUUUGACUGCCAUACUGAAGGGCCCGCGUUCGAAUUCCGGAGAAGGCAUGGUUCUAGAUUGUCUAUCUCUUUGUAAGAGCACUUCCAGCCUUAGUAGUGGCCUAUGAUGGCUGGUGCUGCCAUUGGGAUGACAAAAAUGUUAUUUUUAAAUAGCAUUUCUUAGCUCAUUUAUGGUAUGCAUGUUUUUAUGUAGUAUUUUAAUCAGGUAGAAUUUAAGAAUGAAUUUUAAACUAAUAGAUGUAAAAAAAGGAAGUAUCUUCAUAUCUUGGCAGUGGAAACUGACUGGUUGCAUAGAUUUUUUUCCAUAGUUUUCAGUUUCACAAGAUAUUUUGACAUUUAUGUGUUUAUAAUUUGGUGGUUUAAUCAUAGGCUUAACCCUUCAAUGCACGCAAUAUUAUUUUCAUAAUGUUUUAACUAAGAACUCUAGAAAUUGAAUAUUAUGAU